UUUUUAUUCACAAGAAAAAAAAAUCAUUCAUUUUUCAUGGGAUAUUUUAAUGCAAAUAGGCAAUCGGGGGUUUCUCCCGUAGACUGAAAUUAAUCUGUGUAAACAGCUACUCCGACAGCGGGUUAAGGUUUUGACCACUUUGGAAUCCGGACAAAGUGAGCCCGCUUUUACUUUUCUUUUCUUGUUUCUUGACCAACGAACAGAGCAGAGAAGCAACAAGAGGCAAAAAAUAUGGCGCUUUCCACAUCUAUGAAUUCCUUCUCCACAAUCCCCAAAGCCUCUCCUAGAAACCCAAUAAUCUUCAACCUCCUCAGAACUCCAUCAUUGAAACCCCACCUCAAACUCAACCCCAUUUCAAAACCCUCUUCUCUUUCUCUUUUCUAUCAACCAUCCAAUUUAAGACCCAAAACUCAAUGUUUCCAAAGCACCACGAUCCGCUCCCUCUUCACCGGCAUCGUCGAAGAAAUGGGUGAAAUCAAGCAACUGGGUAUGGCCGAUCAUGGCGGAUUCGAUCUCAAAAUACGCGCCAAAACCAUAGUAGAAGAUGUCAAGCUUGGUGACAGCAUUGCCGUUAACGGAACUUGCCUAACAGUAACGGAUUUCGAUACUCGUUUGGGAGAAUUCAUGGUUGGGUUGGCCCCUGAAACCCUGAGGAAAACUUCAUUGAGUGAAUUGGAAUCCGGGUCAUUGGUGAAUUUGGAGCGGGCUAUACAGCCCACGGGCCGGAUGGGGGGCCAUUUCGUGCAGGGACAUGUGGACGGGACGGGGGAGAUAGUGGGGAAGGAGGUGGAGGGGGACUCCUUGUGGAUUAAGGUUAAGGUUGAUAAGAGUUUGUUGAAAUAUGUGGUGCCCAAAGGGUUCAUAGCUGUGGAUGGAACUAGUUUGACUGUGGUGGAUGUGUUUGAAGAGGAACUUUGUUUCAAUUUUAUGUUAGUAGCUUAUACUCAACAGAAAGUGGUGAUUCCUUUAAAGGAAGUUGGGCAAAAGGUGAAUUUGGAGGUGGAUAUUCUUGGCAAGUAUGUAGAGAGGCUUCUCAGCAGUGGUUUUGUUGAUUCCAUUAAAGGUUCAUGAAAUGCAGAAAGCGACAAAGGUUUGGUUUUUCUGGGUUUAAUGUAUCCUUAGUUUUUGUUUUUAUUUUGUUGAGUCUGAGGUAAUUUGAUGUUCAGUAGUUUCUACUAUAUUUAGGAUUCGAAAGGAGCAGAUUGAGUAAUGAUUCGUAUGUUGUAGCAGAAUCGAUUGUGUCAGUGCAGCGAUAUAGCUGUAUUUGGAAUGAUUAGGUGAAGGACAUCAGUGCCAUAGCCCGUGAAUCUGUUUUUGUUAGCUCUUGUGGACGGUGUCUAUUGUUAAAUGCCUGAUUUCUGCAUGUCUUAUUGGAUAGGCUUGACUGACUGAUGGUGACUGGGGACAAAGAAGUGGGAUAGUUGUUCUAAAGCUUUUGGGAUGAUAACCUUGUUAAUCGUGAAAGUUGCCUAUAUCAGUUAGACAGACAGACAGGCAUUUUGUAUCAGUUGCUAUUCUUCCAAUAUAUUUUCCAUUGCAGCUGAAAUUUCAGUGGUUCUGCUUGUCUUUUUUCGCCAGUUGUGUUAUAUGUGUGUGGACACCUAAGUGAUGGAGCUGGGCUCUGUUAAUAAUGAGUCAGUUGGAGGCAGUCUCAUUUGGCUUUACUUCGGUGCUUCCCGGCUCCCCCAACACCGGAAAGACAUCGAAGGGGCCAAAGUCUGAAGUGUGUAAUAAAAUUUUUUAAGAUCCAGAGGCAAGAAGUUUCAAAUAUUUCAUUUCAACAAAGGGUGCCUGGGGAUGACCUAAAUAACUAAAGCUUCUUCAUUCAAGAUCUUGAAUUAAGUCUAUUUCUUUGAUCAACAUUCAAGUAAAGUUGCAUUGAUCUUGCCACAUGUUUACUUUACUUUUUCUUGGAUGAACAAAAAUGGAAUAGUGUUUUAUUUUUUGAAGGCGAAAUGGAUCAAUAUAUAUGAAGGUGUUGAAAUAAAUUAAAAUGUGUUUA